UACGUAGGGGGCAAGCGUUGUCCGGAUUCAUUGGGCGUAAAGAGCGUGUAGGCGGCCAGGCAGGUCCGCUGUGAAAACUCGAGGCUCAACCUCGAGAUGUCGGUGGAAACCGUCUGGCUAGAGUUCGGAAGAGGCGAGUGGAAUUCCCGGUGUAGCGGUGAAAUGCGCAGAUAUCGGGAGGAACACCAAUGGCGAAGGCAGCUCGCUGGGACGUUACUGACGCUGAGACGCGAAAGCGUGGGGAGCAAACAGG
rnacentral:rRNA from 1 species